UGAAUUCAAAAACUAUCGAAUCAUGUACCGUAAUGUAGAAUAAUGUCAAAAAUAAUGUACAAAUAGCAUGAUCGUGAACUGGACAAAAAAAUGGACCAAGCACUGUAGUGCCCUGUGGUGCCGAUGGUCGCCGGAGGUAGAGAAAAUUUGGUUGAGCUAUUUUGUCAACCACGUGUUGUGCUCCUUGUUUCAUUCAUUGAGAGGAUUACUCUAGCUGGGGGCUGAAUUUUGACCGAAGCUUUUCAUCAAGCAAUUGGUGGGCAAAUACAAACUAGAAGAAAUCUUUACACUCUCGACCUCUUCCAUCCGAGCUCCAUAUUCUUGAGCAAAAUUAUCUCACAUUAAGUAGAUAUAAGUCAGCAACAUCCUACUUGUAACACUUAUAACCCAAUUUGUGGACUCAUUGGACUUCACUGGGUUAUUUGUUGAGCAAAUUAUUGUUGCUGUUGCUGGGCUUGUUGAUUCAUUUGACGAGAAAUUCUGGAGUUUGAUGAUGAACCCAGUGUGGAGGAAAAACAACAUGUUGAGGAGAUGUUUCUUGUUGUCAAAAACUCUGGAAAAAUGGUAGUUUUUGUUUCUCAAAAUCUAGUAUGUAGAGGAGGAAGGCUUGUGUUUGGCUUCUUAUAUUUCCAGUAGCAAUCUCUUGAGAGGAAGAUACUUGAUAGCAUGUUCUUCUUGUUGAUAUAUUCUAAACUUCCAGCAACCAUUUUCUGAUCACCUUUUCACACUAAACAAAAAUUCUUUUCAAAUCAGUUGGCCGUGACCAUUUAACGGCAUGUACAUCAUUGAAAAAUUCCUUUCUUCUCCGCUUUGCCAAUUUUCCAUAGCAAAUUGCUCGAAAAAAUUAUCUUUUCC
rnacentral:lncRNA from 1 species